GCUUGUCUCAAAGAUUAAGCCAUGCAUGUCUAAGUACAAGCCUCAGUAAGGUGAAACCGCGAAUGGCUCAUUAAAUCACACCUAAUCUACUGGAAAGUUACUAGUUACUUGGAUAACUGAGGUAAUUCUUGAGCUAAUACAUGCCUUGAAAAGUCCUGACCUUUAUGGAAGGGAUGCAGUUAUUAGAUACAAAACCAACCCGGGCAACCGGUCCUUUGGUGAUUCAUGAUAACUUUGCGAAUCGCAUAGCUUUAAUGCUGGCGAUGGGUCAUUCAAAUUUCUGCCCUAUCAACUUUCGACGGUAGGAUAGAGGCCUACUGUGGUGAUAACGGGUAACGAAGAAUAAGGGUUCGAUUUCGGAGAGGGAGCCUGAGAAACGGCUACCACAUCCAAGGAAGGCAGCAGG
rnacentral:rRNA from 1 species